UUUUUUUUUUUUUUUUAUUUUUUUUUUUUUAAUUGGUGUUCAAUUUACUAACAUACAGAAUAAUACCCAGUCCCCCGUCACCCAUUCACUCCACCCCCCCCGCCCCCCUCCCCUUCUACCCCCCCUAGUUCGUUUCCCAGAGUUAGCAGUCUUUACGUUCUGUCUCCCUUUUUUGAUAUUUCCCACACAUUUCUUCUCCCUUCCCUUAUUUUCCCUUUUACUAUUAUUUAUAUUCCCCAAAUGAAUGAGAACAUAUAAUGUUUGUCCUUCUCCGACUGACUUACUUCACUCAGCAUAAUACCCUCCAGUUCCAUCCACGUUGAAGCAAAUGGUGGGUAUUUGUCAUUUCUAAUAGCUGAGUAAUAUUCCAUUGUAUACAUAAACCACAUCUUCUUUAUCCAUUCAUCUUUCGUUGGACACCGAGGCUCCUUUCCCCAGUUUUGGGGUAUAGUGGCCAUUGCUGCUAGAAAACAUCGGGGUGCAGGUUGUCCCGGCGUUUUUAUUGCAUUUGUAUCUUUUGGGGUAAAUCCCCAACAGGGCAAUUGCGGGGGCGUAGGGCAGGGAUAUUUUUAACUGUUUGAGGAACCUCCACACAGUUUUUCCCGAGGGGCUGCACCAGUUCACAUUCCCACCCCAAAAGUGUAAGAGGGUUCCCUUUUCUCCGCAUCCUCUCCAACAUUUGUUUUUUUCCUGCCUUGUUUAAAUUUUCCCCCUUCUCACUGGCGUGAGGUGGUAUCUCAUUGUAGUUUUGAUUUGUAUUUCCCUGAUGGCAAGUGAUGCAGAGCAUUUUCUCAUAUGCAUGUUGGCCAUGUCUAUGUCUUCCUCUUGAGAUUUCUGUUCAUGUCUUUUGCCCAUUUCAUGAUUGGAUUGUUUGUUUCUUUGGUGUUUGAGUUUAAUAAGUUCUUUAUAGAUCUUGGAAACUAGCCCUUUAUCUGAUAUGUCAUUUGCAAAUAUCUUUCCCAUUCUGUAGGUUGUCUUUGAGUUUUGUUGACUGUAUCCUUUGCUGUACAAAAGCUUUUUAUCUUGAUGAAGUCCCAAUGUUCUUUUUUGUUUUUGUUUCUUUUCCCUUUUGUGGUGUAUCUUGAAAGAAGUUACUAUGGCCGAGUUCAAAAAGGGGUGUUGCCUGGUUCUUCUCUGGGAUUUUGAUGGAAUCUUGUCUCACAUUUAGAUCUUCCCAUUUUGAUUUUUAUUUUUGGUUGGUAAAAGAGAGUGGUCUAGUUUCAUUUCGCAUUGGAUGCCCAAAUUUUUCCCAGCACCAUUUAUUGAAGAGACUGUUUUUUCUCCAAUGGUAGUCUUUCCUCCUUUUUCGAAUAUAGUUGCCCCUAAAAUUCGGGGCCACUUCUGGAUUCUCUUUCUGUUCCAUGAUUUUGUGUCUGUUUUUGUGCCGACCACACUUCUUUUGACCACAGCUUUUUAGUACAACCUGAAAUCUGGCAUUUUGAGCCCCCAGAUAUGGUUUUUUUUUUUAAAAUUCCCCUGGCUAUUCGGGGUCUUUUUCUGAUUCCACACAAAUCUUAAAAUAAUUUGUUCUAACUCUCUGAAAAAAGUCCAUGGUAUUUUGAUAGGGAUUGCAUUAAACGUGUAUAUUCCCCUGGGAAACCCUUGACAUUUUCACAAUAUUAAUUCUGCCAUCCAUGAGCAUGGAAUAUUUUUCCAUCUCUUUUGUCUCCCUCAAUUUUUUUCCCGAAGUGUUCUAUAGUUUUGAGGGUAUAGAUCCUUUACAUCUUUGGUGAGGUUUUUCCUAGGUAUCUUAUGCUUUUGGGUGAAAUUGUAAAUGGGAUUGACUCCUUAAUUUCUCUUUCUUCAGUCUCAUUGUUAGGUAUAGAAAUGCCACUGAUCGGGGCAUGAUUUUGUUCCUGCCACGCUACCGAAUUGCUGUAUGGUUCUAGCAAUCUUGGGGUGGAGCCCUUUUGGUUUUCUAUGUAGAGUAUCAUGUCAUCGGCGAAGAGGAGAGUUUGACUUCUUCUUUCCCAAAUUUGAAUGCCUUUAAUGUCUUUUUGUUGUCUGAUUGCUGAGGCUAGGACUUCCAGUACUAUGUUGAAUAGCAGUGGUGAGAGUGGACAUCCCUGUCUUUUUCCCUGUUUCUUAGGGGAAAGGCUCCCAGUGCUUCCCCAUUGAGAAUGAUAUUUGCUGUGGGCUUUUCAUAGAUGGCUUUUAAGAUGUCGAGGAAUGUUUCCCCCUAUCCCUACACUCUGAAGAGUUUUAAUCAGGAAUGGAUGCUGUUUUUUGUCAAAUGCUUUCUCUGCAUCCAAUGAGAGGACCCUAUGGUUUUUGGUUUUUCUCUUGCUGAUAUGAUGAAUCACAUUGAUGUUUUACGGGUGUUGAAACCGCCUUGUGUCCCAGGGAUAAUCCUACUUGGUCAUGGUGAAUAUUUUCUUAAUUACUGUUGGAUCCUUUUGGGCCCCUUUAUCUUGUUGGAAUUUUUGCAUCCAUGUUCAUCAGGGAUUUUGGUCUGUAAUUUCCUUUUUGGCGGGGUCUUUGUCUGGCUUUGGAAUUAAGGUGAUGCUGGCUUCAUAGAAGAAUUUGGAAGAAAUCCAUCUCUUUCUAUUUUCCCAAAAACAGCUUUAGGAGAAUAGGUAUGAUUUCUUUUUUAAAAACUUUUGAUAAAAUUCUCCUGGGAAGCCAUCUGGCCCUGGACUCUUGUGUCUUGGGGGUUUUUGAUGACUGCUUCAAUUUCCUCCCUGGUUAUUGGCCUGUUCAGGUUUUCUAUUUCUUCCUGUUCCAGUUUUGGUAGUUUGUGGCUUUCCAGGAAUGCGUCCAUUUCUUCUAGAUUGCCUAAUUUUUUGGGCGUAUAGCUGUUCAUAAUAUGUUUUUAAAAUCUUUUUGUAUUUCUUGGUGUUGGUAGUGAUCUCUCCUUUCCAUUCAUGAUUUUAUUAAUUUGAGUCUUCUCUCUCUUCUUUUUAAUAAGGCUGGCUAAUGGUUUAUCUAUCUUAUUAAUUCUUUCAAAGAACCAACUCCUGGUUCUGUUGAUCUGUUCCACAGUUCUUCUGGUCUCGAUUUUGUUGAGUUCUGCUCGAAUCUUUAUUAACUCCCUUCUUCUCUUGGGUGGGAGGAUCUAUUGCUGUUUUUUUUUCUAGCUCCUUUAUGUGUAGGUUAGCUUUUGUAUUUGAGUUCUUUCCAGUUUUGAAUGGAUGCUUGUAUUGCGAUGUAUUUCCCCCUUAGGACUGCUUUUGCUGCAUCCCAAAGAUUUUGAACGGUUUGUAUCUUCAUUCUCAUUAGUUUCCAUGAAUCUUUUUAAUUCUUCCUUAAUUUCCUGGUUGACCCUUUAUCUUUCAGCAGGAUGGUCCUUAACCUCCAUGUGUUUGAGGUCCUUCCAAACUUCUUGUUGUGUUUAGUUCUAAUUUCAGGCAUUAUGGUCCGAGAAUAUGCAGGGGACAAUCCCAAUCUUUUGGUAUCGGUUCAGACCCGAUUUGUGACCAAAAUGUGGUCUAUUCUGGAGGGAAAGUUCCGUGUGCGCUUGAGAAGAAUGUGUAUUCAGUUGAGUUUGGAUGUAAAGUUCUGUGAUAUCUGUGAAAUCCUCUGGUCCAGUGUAUCGUUUUUAAAACUCUCGUUUCUUUGGAGAUGUUUUGCUUUUGAAGACCUAUCGGUAUAGAAAGGCUAGAUUGAAGUCACCAAGUAUAAGUGUAUUAUUAUCUAAGUAUUUCUUCACUUUGGUUAAUUUAAUUGAUUUAUAUAUUUGGCAGCUCCCACAUUCGGAGCAUAUAUAUUGGGAUUGUUAAGUCCUCUUGUUGAAUAGAUCCUUUAAGUAUGAUAUAGUGCCCCUCUUCAUCUCUCACUCCCAGUUUUUGGGGAAAAUUUUAGUUUAUUGUAAAGGGGCUACCCCUGCUUUCUUUUGGGACCAUUCGAAUGGUAAAUGAUUUCCAAUUUUUUUAUUUUCAGGCUGUGGGUGCCCCUUCUGUCAAAAAUGAGUCUUUUGGGAGAAAAGCAAAUAGAUGGGUCCUGCUUUUUUAUCCAGUCUGAAACCCUGCGCCUUUUGAUGGGGGUCAUUAAGCCCUUCACAUUCAGAUUACUAUUGAGGGGAUAUGAGUUUAGUGUCAUCAUGAUAUCUAUUCAGUCUUUGUUUUGUGGACUGUUCCACUGAACUUCUUUUUAAAAGGGGGAAUUUUAAGGGGCCCCCCUUUUAAAAUUUCUUGCAGAGCUGGUUUGGGGUCACAUAUUCUUUUAGUUGCUGCCUGUCUUGGAAGCUUUUUUAUCUCUCCUUCCUUUUUGAAAUGAGAGCCUUGCUGGAAAAAGUUUUCUUGGUUGCAUGUUUUUUUCCUCAUUUAGGACCUGAUAUAUCCUGCCACCCCUUUUCUGGCCUCCCAGGUCUCUGUGGAGAGGCUGCUUUUUACCCUAAUACUCCUCCCCAUAAAAGUCAGGGAUUUUUUUGUCUCUUGCUGUUUUAAGGAUCUUCUCCUUAUCUUUGGAAUUUGCAAGUUUCCCACAAUUAAAUUCGAGGGGUUGAACGGUUUUAUUGAUUUUAGGGGGGGAUCUCUCAUUUCCUGGAUCUGAAUGCCUUUUUCCCCCCCCAAGAUUAGGAAAGUUUUCAGCUAGAAUUUGUUCAAAUACAUAUUCUGGCCUCUGCCCCUUUCGGCGCCCUGGGGAAACCCCCCAUUAAACGUAGGUUUUUUUUCCUCAGGCUGUCGUUUAUUUCCCUUAAUCUAUCUUCAUGGCCCUUUUAAUUGUUUGUCUUUUUUUUUCCUCAGUUUCCCUCUUUGCUAUCAACUUGUCUUCUAGGUCACUCACUCGUUCUUCCCCCUCGUUAACCCUCGUCGUUAGGACUUCUAGUUUGGAUUGCAUCUCAUUCAAUUGAUUUUUAAUUUCUGCCUGAUUAGCUCUAAAUUCUGCAGUCAUGAAGUCUCUUGAGCCCUUUUUCUUUUUUCUAGAGCCACCAGUAGCUGUAUAAUAGUG
rnacentral:lncRNA from 1 species